AAAGGGUGACACCGGCUACGGAUGGCCAUGCGGCGCAUUAGCUGGUUGGCGGGGUAACGGCCCACCAAGGCGACGAUGCGUAGGGGUUCUGAGAGGAAGGUCCCCCACACUGGUACUGAGACACGGACCAGACUCCUACGGGAGGCAGCAGUGAGGAAUAUUGGUCAAUGGGCGCGAGCCUGAACCAGCCAAGUCGCGUGAGGGAAGACGGUCCUAUGGAUUGUAAACCUCUUUUGUCGGGGAGCAAAAGACGCCACGCGUGGCGUUCCGAGAGUACCCGAAGAAAAAGCAUCGGCUAACUCCGUGCCAGCAGCCGCGGUAAUACGGAGGAUGCGAGCGUUAUCCGGAUUUAUUGGGUUUAAAGGGUGCGCAGGCGGAAGAUCAAGUCAGCGGUAAAAUUGAGAGGCUCAACCUCUUCGAGCCGUUGAAACUGGUUUUCUUGAGUGAGCGAGAAGUAUGCGGAAUGCGUGGUGUAGCGGUGAAAUGCAUAGAUAUCACGCAGAACUCCGAUUGCGAAGGCAGCAUACCGGCGCUCAACUGACGCUCAUGCACGAAAGUGUGGGUAUCGAACAGGAUUAGAUACCCUGGUAGUCCACACAGUAAACGAUGAAUACUAAUUGUUCGGGGAGAAUGAUCCCUGA
rnacentral:rRNA from 1 species